rnacentral:tRNA from 1 species
GGCCCUAUCGUCUAGCGGUCGAGGACGUCACCCUUUCAAGGUGAAGACACGGGUUCGAGUCCCGUUAGGGUCA